CACCCUGAUUUCUGAGAAUCUAUAGCAAUUAUAUAUAAGAAGUGUCAACUAAGAGGACAAAGCAGAACCCUUCCUUCAGAGAAUAUAAUCAAAAGAAGAGAGUGGGUGUGAUAAACUGGGGGCAGAAGGAAGGAUAAUACUGCAGGUUGGACCUCAAGGCUCUCAGGAACAUUCUCUGCCAUGCAAAAUCAAUAGCAAAGCCAGAAAAGAGCAUGUGAAGCUCUGAUAGAAGAGAACAAUAUAAACAAUUAACAAAGGGAUCUCUUCCCAACACAUACUCCUUCUCAUGAGGCUCAACCAUCAGUGCAGGGCUUGCCCAGCACAAUGUAGAGACCACAGCCCUGAGUCAGACUUGGUCUGCCACCUUUGAUUCCCUAUGCUAUAAAGAGAAUUGAAACAUUGUCAGACUCCUGGCACCUUGGUAAUGGCUGUGUCCUAUUUCCCUCACGCUCGUCCUUUUAAAGUCUCCCUUCCUCAAGCCAGACCCCCAAGGAACCCUGUAUGUAGUGAGGGUCUGAAAUGAUGAUAAUCUGUAGUUAGAGUAGGAGGGCUUAAACCCGAUGAAUUCUAGUCUGUAAAACAGCAACCAUCAGUGAGUCAGGGUGUCAGACAGGCCUCUGUGAAGGGGAAGACUGAACUGGGAUAUGCCACAGGGCAGGAGAAGAAGGCCCAUCCCUAGUAGCCUGCAGGAGUGAUUCUGGCAUGGAGUUUACAGCCAGCCCUAACUAAUGCUGGCUCGGGAGGUGUAAGGGGGGCAUCCUUUCAGUGUUUAAACAGAGCCCUCACAUAGUCUGGGGCUAGAUCUCUGUGUCACUCCUGAAGCCCAAUGUACCUCUUACCUCUGCAAGAAAAAGGUGUGGUUUUUGUCUGUUAAAGUGCUAGAUCUGCUUUCUUAAUUUAUUUGAUGAUAAAGCAACACCAUAAAAAGAACCUUGGAAAAUCGUGGGAAAAACCACAUGGGCUUUCCCAGUGCUAGCUGCCUGUUUUGGAGUAUUAGUUACAACCUUUCACAAUUCUGAGAGCUGCAAAGCAGACUACUUAGGGUAGUCUGAAAAGAAUCCUUCUGCUUUCACUUCACAAAGCACAAGGAAAAGGGAGCACUGACCAAGGUUGUGGUGGGUCAACGCUCUGGAAAUCUGUCGACCACACUACACAUGGUAAAAGCACAGAGCCUGGCUUAUGUGGACAAUGCAAGGUGACCAGGUGGGCUCCAUCAUUAUCCACAACAGGAAUGACUUAAGCCCCAGCAUAUAAUCUCUUAGGGAUUUAUUGAGUUAUACAAAUUAAAAAAAAAAAUCAUAUUAGAAAGGGGCUCUUGACCUAAUAUAAACUUGGCUACGACAUUCAAAUUUAUCUUUAUGCAAAUUUCACACUAACAGCAAUCUCUUGUAGCAUCUGAUUCUGUCAUUCUGAAGAAAAAAAAUUUCAUUCUGAAAUAUAUCUAGUUAAUUAGGAUAAUUCAUCAGAAUUCUACCUGAUAUAAUUAAAAGCU